AUUCCAAUUACGUCGGGGAUCCCGGAUAAUAUGCCCCCGGUUUGUAACUAACCCAAUAGCGUUCGGGAUGCGGCGGCCACUUCCGCAUCUUGGGGAUAACCGGGAAAUCAGGAGAGUACAUGUAC
rnacentral:sRNA from 1 species